rnacentral:rRNA from 1 species
AGAGUUUGAUCAUGGCUCAGGAUGAACGCUAGGCUACAGGCUUAACACAUGCAAGUCGAGGGGUAGCAGGGUAGCAAUACCGCUGACGACCGGCGCACGGGUGAGUAACACGUAUCCAACCUUCCCAUAACUCAGGGAUAGCCUUUCGAAAGAAAGAUUAAUACCUGAUAGUACUUUUUCAAGGCAUCUUGAGAAGUUAAAGAUUUAUUGGUUAUGGAUGGGGAUGCGUUCCAUUAGAUAGUUGGUGAGGUAACGGCUCACCAAGUCUUCGAUGGAUAGGGGUUCUGAGAGGAAGGUCCCCACAUUGGUACUGAGACACGGACCAAACUCCUACGGGAGGCAGCAGUGAGGAAUAUUGGUCAAUGGGCGAGAGCCUGAACCAGCCAAGUAGCGUGAAGGAUGAAGGUCCUAUGGAUUGUAAACUUCUUUUAUAGUAGAAUAAAGUGAUCCACGUGUGGAUUUUUGUAUGUAUACUAUGAAUAAGGAUCGGCUAACUCCGUGCCAGCCGCUGC